GAUCAUGGCUCAGGACGAACGCUGGCGGCGUGCCUAAUACAUGCAAGUCGAGCGGAGUUUAGUUGAGUACUUGUACGAGACUGAACUUAGCGGCGGACGGGUGAGUAACGCGUGAGCGACCUGGCCUAUACAGGGGGAUAACAGGGAGAAAUUCCUGCUAAUACCGCAUAAGACCACAGUACUGCAUGGUACAGGGGUCAAAGGAGGAAUCCGGUAUAGGAUGGGCUCGCGUCCCAUUAG
rnacentral:rRNA from 1 species